UACAGGGGGUGCAAACGUUGCUCGGAAUUAUUGGGCGUAAAGCGCAUGUAGGCGGUUUGUUAUGUCUGAUGUGAAAGCCCUUGGCUCAACUGAGGAAGUGCAUCCGAAACUGGCAAGCUAGAGUAUGUAAGAGGGUCGCGGAAUUCCCGGUGUAGAGGUGAAAUUCGUAGAUAUCAGGAGGAACACCGGUGGCGAAGGCGGCUUGCUGGGCCUUACCUGACGCUGAGGAGCGAAAGCGUGGGGAGCGAACAGG
rnacentral:rRNA from 1 species